rnacentral:misc_RNA from 1 species
GAAAUGCGAUAAGUAGUGUGAAUUGCAGAAUUCAGUGAAUCAUCGAAUCUUUGAACGCACAUUUCGCCCCUCGGUAUUCCGUGGGGCAUGCCUGUUCGAGCGUCAUCUACACCCUCAAGCUCUGCUUGGUGUUGGGCGUCUGUCCCGCCUCCUUCGCGCGCGGACUCGCCCCAAAUCCAUUGGCGGCGGCCCUUGCCUCCCUCUCGCGCAGCACAUUGCGCUUCUCGAGGCGCGGCGGACCGCGUCCAGCAAGCAACCGUCACACCGUCUUUGACCUCGGAUCAGGUAGGGAUACCCGCUGAACUUAAGC